GUGCUCACUUCGGCAGCACAUAUACUAGAAUUGGAACAAUACAGAGAAGAUUAGCAUGGCUCCUGUGCAAGUAUGACAAAAAUUAGUUCAAACACUUACCAAGACUCC